GCUAGGCUUAACCCAUUGUUUUAUAAACAUAGCAGUUUCAGAGAAACUGCCGGGAGAUGGAAUAUGACGUAAUUCAGGCCCCAGCAUACUAAACAGUGGGCGGGAGGAGUGAGGAGCUACCCCACACUGGACCCCAGGGAGUUUAGUGUUUGACUGUGAGUGUGUUAGUGAGUGUCUGCCUGUGUGUGUGUGUGUGUGUGUGUCAGUGAGUGU